rnacentral:misc_RNA from 1 species
GAUGAAGAACGCAGCAAAAUGCGAUAAGUAGUGUGAAUUGCAGAAUUCAGUGAAUCAUCGAAUCUUUGAACGCACCUUGCGCCCUUUGGCUAUUCUGAAGGGCAUGCCUGUUUGAGUAUCGUGAACACCUCAACUCUCAUGGUCUGCCAUGAUGAGCUUGGACUUUGGGGGUCUUGCUGGCCUACUGUCAGCUCCUCUCAAAUGAAUCAGCUUACCAGUGUUUGGUGGCACCACAGGUGUGAUAACUAUCUACGCUUGUGGUUUUCUGCCAGGUAACCUCCAGUGAUGGAGGUUCGCUGGAGCUCACAAAUGUCUCUCCUCAGCGAGGACAGCUUUUUGAACGUUUGAUCUCAAAUCAGGUAGGACUACCCGCUGAACUUAAGCAUAUCAAUAAGCGGAGGA